AUUGAACGCUGGCGGCAUGCCUAACACAUGCAAGUCGAACGGUUUAUGGAGCUUGCUUCAUAGAUAGUGGCGGACGGGUGAGUAAUAUGUAGGAAUCUGCCUUGAGGAGGGGGAUAACUUGGGGAAACUCAAGCUAAUACCGCGUAAGUCGGAGACGAGAAAGCAGGGGACCGAAAGGCCUUGCGCCUUAAGAUGAGCCUGCAUCGGAUUAGCUAGUUGGUGGGGUAAAGGCCUACCAAGGCGAUGAUCCGUAGCUGGUCUGAGAGGAUGACCAGCCACAUUGGGACUGAGACACGGCCCAGACUCCUACGGGAGGCAGCAGUGGGGAAUAUUGGACAAUGGGGGAAACCCUGAUCCAGCAAUGCCGCGUGUGUGAAGAAGGCCUUCGGGUUGUAAAGCACUUUCAGUGGGGAAGAAGGAUGUAUGGUUAAUACCCAUGCAUUUUGACGUUAACCACAGAAGAAGCACCGGCUAACUCUGUGCCAGCAGCCGCGGUAA
rnacentral:rRNA from 1 species